AUUACGCCUAAAAUAUGUAACUAAUGAAUAUUUCAUCAUCAUGAUCAUCAUCUCAGCCUGUCCACUGUCCACUGCUGAACAUAGGCCUCUCCGACUGAUGUCCAGUGCGGCCGGUCCGUUACCACCUGCAUCCAACGUGACCCAGUGUUGACCCAGCAAUUUUCACCAGGUCGUCGGUCCAUCUGGUAGGUGGCCGUCCCACACUGCGUUUGCCACCCACAAACGUCCACUGCUGGGCAUAGGCCUGCCCCAAGCCUCGUCACAACGAUCUGUCUUGCGCUGCUUGCAUCUUUGCACAAACAAAAGUAAUUAAAUCGAAGCAAUACAUAAUUAUCGGGUGGAAUUUUGAAGCAAAAUUGUGAGAUAAUAUUAUUAUUAAAAAAACUGCGAUUCGUGUGAAUUUUAGUCAUCGAAUAACAAUUGCUCUCGUCAUCCGGGGUGUGCCCUGAAUAUUAUCAUUAACAGGAAAAAUUCGAUGUAUGUACCGAUAACCGAUUAUAAGUUAUCAUUGAUAAUGAUAGUCUCAUGACGGACCGUAGAAGGGGGGAAUCGAUCAGUGAUUCACAAAAUUCCAUAAAAAUAUCACACAAACGUAGGCGACUUAGUAAUUUGCUUAUAUAUAACGAGUACUAAAGCGGACAAUGGCCGACAACGAGAAUCCUUGCCCCGCUGAAGUUGCCAGUGAAAACGAAGUUGCUGAAAGCCAAGAAACUAGCGCGGGUGAAGAAGCCACCUCCAAUCAAACUGCCCCACCAUCAAAAGUUGAUCUACGUAAUAUGAUCGUUGUGCCACCUAAUUGCCCUGCUGGAUAUAAGAUGGGACCGGACGGGGUCUGUCGCGAGGUCUUCAAUUAAAACUUAUAAAAUUAAUUUACUCAUCUAUUAGCAUAAAUGAAACGUUUUCAAUUCAGUAUUAUUAAUGUGUCUUUUAUUGUAAUGUUGUAAUGUAAAAGUUUGCGUUCUGAUUUUUUGUGAAUCUUUAUGUUGUAUACAAUAAAUUUUGGUUAAUGA